AUUGAACGCUGGCGGCAGGCCUAACACAUGCAAGUUGAGCGGUAGAGAGGUGCUUGCACCUCUUGAGAGCGGCGGACGGGUGAGUAAUGCCUAGGAAUCUGCCUGGUAGUGGGGGAUAACGUCCGGAAACGGACGCUAAUACCGCAUACGUCCUACGGGAGAAAGCAGGGGACCUUCGGGCCUUGCGCUAUCAGAUGAGCCUAGGUCGGAUUAGCUAGUUGGUGAGGUAAUGGCUCACCAAGGCGACGAUCCGUAACUGGUCUGAGAGGAUGAUCAGUCACACUGUAACUGGGACACGGUCCAGACUCCUAGGGGAGGCAGCGGUGGGGAAUAUUGGACAAUGGGCGAAAGCCUGAUCCAGCCAUGCCGCGUGUGUGAAGAAGGUCUUCGGAUUGUAAAGCACUUUAAGUUGGGAGGAAGGGUACUUACCUAAUACGUGAGUAUUUUGACGUUACCGACAGAAUAAGCACCGGCUAACUCUGUGCCAGCCGCCGCUGUAAAAC
rnacentral:rRNA from 1 species